AUUGAACGCUGGCGGCAGGCCUAAAACAUGCAAGUCGAGCGAGCGGCGGACGGGUGAGGAAUGUCUGGGAAACUGCCUGAUGGAGGGGGAUAACUACUGGAAACGGUAGCUAAUACCGCAUAACAUCAGAUGUGCCCAGAUGGGAGUGGCUAGUAGGGGGGGUAAUGGUCCACCUAGGCGACGAUCCCUAGCUGGUCUGAGAGGAUGACCAGCCGCACUUGAACUGAGACACGGUCCAUGCCCCAACGGGAGGCAGCAGUGGGGAAUAUUGCACAAUGGGCGAAAGCCUGAUGUAGCCAUGCCGCGUGUGUGAAGAAGGCCUUCGGUUUGUAAAGCACUUUCAGCGGGGAGGCGUUACCCGCAGAAGAAGCACCGGCUAACUCCGUGCCAGCAGCCGCGGUAAUUC
rnacentral:rRNA from 1 species